GGGGGAAAAACAUAUUUUUUGUUCUAAUUUAGUUUCUGUAGGAGGACAAACAUGACACAAACCUCCCUAAUUGCUAUAAAGCACACUGUUUAUAUUAAACAUGCUUCACUGAUUCGAGUAUUUGGCGAGCGCCGUUUUGUCCUACUAAUUUUGGCGGUCCUUGAACUCACCCUAGUUUGUUUACAUGUAUAACUUUCUCCGGCGUUCUAACACUUGUCGUAUGCCACUUCUUUUGCUGUCUCAUUUUGGCCACCAAACUUAUAACGUUGUGCAUGAAUGCACAAAGCUCAAGGAGCAGUCAAGUGCUGAAAGAUACAACCAUCCCAUCAGUCAGCAUCCCAGAGUGAGCGGAUUUUGGAUCCUGCAUAGGGCCAUUUGAGUGUGUGCAGAAUAUGAUGACACGAAAUGAUGUGAUGUUGACGUCCUGAAAUGGCUUGGAGAUGAUGGUACCUACCAACAAAUAACAUCAUGAUCCAGACCAGGUGAAUUGCUAAGUUCCUCUCUUUGGCGUACGGAUGCAGGAGGUAGAGCAUGAUGGGAGAUAUGAUAAAGAAAAUGAAGCUGCUCGUCUGGAAGUCAAAACAAAACACUGUUAGAUUGUCAAAUAGCGUGACAAGAAUUUAAAGAACCUCACAGUGUUGAAGAACUCCACCACGUGUUCCGAGUGUUCGUAGUUGUCUUCACACCAGUCGAUCUCUGAACUCUCGUAGGAGAAAACUCCAGGCAUCCUUUUGCUUGAGUAGACUCCUGACAGACAAACAGUUGAGGUAAACAAUGAUUCGGACAAUAGCUCAUCAGCUGCACGCUAGUAAAGAAAAAACAUAGGAAGGAGGCGGGGUGAGUUAUUUUUUGGUGGUUUAUGGAAAUCAGUAAUUUCCUGUACUUUGAUUGUACUCAAAAGGGUGUUUGCGCACCUUCACAAGGCGUUGUGCAAACUAACGCUAAUUUAAAUGCAUCGUCGUGUCCAAUUUGCAUUAUUGGCCUUGAUGCAUGUGAGCACAAAAACGUGAAAAGCAAAACAAAUGUUUAUUUAUUUAUUUGACAAGCACGUGAGUACUUUUAGAUUAGGACCUGCUGCUCCUUGAGAAGAGCAAUAUGUGCUUUCAUGUGAGAGCAGUGGUUCUUAACCUUGUUGGCGGUACCGAACCCCACCAGUUUCAUAUACGCAUUCACCGAACUCUUCUUUAGUGAAAAAUAAAAAGUGUUUUUUUUCAAAUUCAAGACAAAGUUGUAUAUGUUUUUGGUAACACUUUAGUAUGGAGAACAUAUUCUUAGUAACAAAGACUUAAUUUAGAGUUAUUUGGACACUAGGGGAACAUAUUCUAAGUAACAAAGACUUAAUUUAAAACUGUUAGGGUUAGGGCCAGGGUUAGAGGGUUAGGGUUAUAA